CGCAGCCGCGGUAAUUCCAGCUCCAAUAGCGUAUAUUAAAGUUGUUGCAGUUAAAAAGCUCGUAGUUGAAUUUCGGGGUCAGUAGGUUGGUCAUGCCUCCGGUAUGUACUGGUCUCACUGAUUCCUCCUUCCUGAUGAGCCGUAAUGCCAUUAAUUUGGUGUUGCGGGGAAUCUGGACUGUUACUUUGAAAAAAUUAGAGUGUUUAAAGCAAGCUAACGCUUGAAUACAUUAGCAUGGAAUAAUGGAAUAGGACGUUCGAUCCUAUUUUGUUGGUUUCUAGGAUUGACGUAAUGAUUAAUAGGGAUAGUUGGGGGCAUUAGUAUUCAAUUGUCAGAGGUGAAAUUCUUGGAUUUAUUGAAGACUAACUACUGCGAAAGCAUUUGCCAAGGAUGUUUUCAUUAAUCAAGAACGAAAGUUAGGGGAUCGAAGACGAUCAGNUACCGUCGUAGUCUUAACCAUAAACUAUGCCGACUAGGGAUCGGAUGAUGUAAUUUUUUAAUGACUCAUUCGGCGCCUUAA
rnacentral:rRNA from 1 species